AAACUGCUAGAGCUGUAAGUCAAGCUAUGCAUGCAUACUUAAGCAUAGUGAGAAUUUGACAAUAACAUGGUGAUUCUAUUUGAGAUCAUAGGGCAUACAGGUUCUAUAAGAUAAAUUAUGGAAAGUGUGAGUCCAAGAGACCAGGGCAACCAUUGGAGGUUAUACAUAACUGGCCGUGCAUGAAGCAACCACCGUU